UGGACCCGCGGCGUAUUAGCUAGUUGGUAGGUAAAGGCUCACCAAGGCAGUGAUACGUAGCCGACCUGAGAGGGUAAUCGGCCACAUUGGGACUGAGACACGGCCCAGACUCCUUCGGGAGGCAGCAGUAGGGAAUCUUCCACAAUGGACGCAAGUCUGAUGGAGCAACGCCGCGUGAGUGAAGAAGGGGUUUCGGCUCGUAAAGCUCUGUUGUUAAAGAAGAACGUGGGUAAGAGUAACUGUUUACCCAGUGACGGUAUUUAAACCAGAAAGCCACGGCUAACUACGUGCCAGCAGCCGCGGUAAUACGUAGGUGGCAAGCGUUAUCCGGAUUUAUUGGGCGUAAAGCGAGCGCAGGCGGUCUUUUAAGUCUAAUGUGAAAGCCUUCGGCUCAACCGAAGAAGUGCAUUGGGAACUGGGAGACUUGAGUGCAGAAGAGGACAGUGGAGCUCCAUGUGUUAGCGGUGAAAUGCGUAGAUAUAUGGAAGAACACCAGUGGCGAAGGCGGCUGUCUGGUCUGCAACUGACGCUGAGGCUCGAAAGCAUGGGUAGCGAACAGGAUUAGAUACCCUGGUAGUCCAUGCCGUAAACGAUGAUUACUAAGUGUUGGAGGGUUUCCGCCCUUCAGUGCUGCAGCUAACCGCAUUAAGUAAUCCGCCUGGGGAGUACGACCGC
rnacentral:rRNA from 1 species